rnacentral:rRNA from 1 species
CUACGGGGGGCAGCAGUGGGGAAUAUUGGACAAUGGGGGAAACCCUGAUCCAGCAAUGCCGCGUGUGUGAAGAAGGCCUGCGGGUUGUAAAGCACUUUCGGUUGGGAGGACUGCUUCUAGCACUAAUAUUGUUGGAAGUUGACGUUACCUUCAGAAGAAGCACCGGCUCAACUCCGUGCCAGCAGCCGCGGUAAUACGGAGGGUGCAAGCUUUAAUCGGAAUUACUGGGCGUAAAGCGCGCGUAGGCGGCUAGAUCAGUCGGGUGUGAAAGCCCCGGGCUUAACCUGGGAACUGCAUCCGAUACUGUCUAGCUUGAGUACAGGAGAGGAGAGUGGAAUUCCACAUGUAGCGGUGAAAUGCGUAGAUAUGUGGAGGAACACCAAUGGCGAAGGCAGCUCUCUGGCCUGAUACUGACGCUGAGGUGCGAAAGCGUGGGGAGCAAACAGGAUUAGAUACCCCCGUAGUC